rnacentral:misc_RNA from 1 species
GAACGCACCUUGCGCCCUUUGGCUAUUCUGAAGGGCAUGCCUGUUUGAGUAUCGUGAACACCUCAACUCUCGUGGCUUGCCAUGAUGAGUUUGGACUUGGGGGGUCUUGCUGGCCUGUGGUCGGCUCCUCUCAAAUGGAUCAGCUUGCCAGUGUUUGGUGGCAUCACAGGUGUGAUAACUAUCUACGCUUGUGGUUUUCCACCAGAUAACCUUCAGUGAUGGAGGUUCGCUGGAGCUCAUAAAUGUCUCUCCUCAGUGAAGACAGCUUUUUGAACGUUUGAUCUCAAAUCAGGUAGGACUACCCGCUGAACUUAAG